rnacentral:rRNA from 1 species
AACGAACGCUGGCGGCAGGCCUAACACAUGCAAGUCGAGCGAGGACUUCGGUCCUAGCGGCGGACGGGUGAGUAACGCGUGGGAACGUGCCCCUUGGUACGGAAUAGCCCCGGGAAACUGGGAGUAAUACCGUAUGAGCUCUACGGAGGAAAGAUUUAUCGCCAAGGGAUCGGCCCGCGUUGGAUUAGGUAGUUGGUGGGGUAAUGGCCUACCAAGUCGACGAUCCAUAGCUGGUUUGAGAGGAUGAUCAGCCACACUGGGACUGAGACACGGCCCAGACUCCUACGGGAGGCAGCAGUGGGGAAUCUUAGACAAUGGGCGCAAGCCUGAUCUAGCCAUGCCGCGUGAGCGAUGAAGGCCUUAGGGUUGUAAAGCUCUUUCAGCUGGGAAGAUAAUGACUGUACCAGCAGAAGAAGCCCCGGCUAACUCCGUGCCAGCCGCCGCUGUAAAAC